GUUAUGGUAGCCUAAAAAUUAAGGCGUUGGUCUUGUAAACCAAAAAUUGGAGGUGGGAUGCCUCCCCAAAACA
rnacentral:tRNA from 1 species